GACGAACGCUGGCGGCGUGCUUAACACAUGCAAGUCGAGCGGUAAGGCUCCCUCGGGAGUACACGAGCGGCGAACGGGUGAGUAACACGUGAGCAAUCUACCCUUCACUUUGGAAUAACUUUCGAACGGAAGCUAAUACCAAUACGACCACCGAAGGCAUCCUUGGUGGUGGAAAGUUCCGGCGGUGGAGGAUGAGCUCGCGGCCUAUCAGCUUGUUGGUGGGGUAAUGGCCUACCAAGGCGACGACGGGUAGCCGGCCUGAGAGGGUGGACCGGCCACACUGGGACUGAGACACGGCCCAGACUCCUACGGGAGGCAGCAGUGGGGAAUAUUGGACAAUGGGCGAAAGCCUGAUCCAGCAACGCCGCGUGAGGGAUGACGGCCUC
rnacentral:rRNA from 1 species